rnacentral:rRNA from 1 species
GAUUUCUGGUCGGGCGCGCCCAGCCCAGCGGGUUAAACCGUUGAGUGCUGGCGUGCGCCUACCAUCCUUCUAGUGAACGGCACUACCCUUUACUGGGCCGGUGUCGCCAGCUAGAUCUUUUACUUUGAAAAAAUUAGAGUGUUUAAAGCAGGCUUGCGCUAUGAAUACAUUAGCAUGGAAUAAUAAUUUAGGACUUUGUUUCUAUUUUGUUGGUUUCUAGGAAUGAAGUAAUGAUUGAUAGGGAUAGUUGGGGGUGCUAGUAUUCAGUGGCCAGAGGUGAAAUUCUUGGAUUCACUGAAGACUAACUACUGCGAAAGCAUU